UACGGAGGGUGCAAGCGUUAUCCGGAUUCACUGGGUUUAAAGGGUGCGUAGGUGGGCAAGUAAGUCAGUGGUGAAAUCUCCGGGCUUAACCCGGAAACUGCCAUUGAUACUAUUUGUCUUGAAUACUGUGGAGGUCAGCGGAAUAUGUCAUGUAGCGGUGAAAUGCUUAGAUAUGACAUAGAACACCAAUUGCGAAGGCAGCUCACUACGGAUAUAUUGACACUGAGGCACGAAAGCGUGGGGAUCAAACAGG
rnacentral:rRNA from 1 species